rnacentral:rRNA from 1 species
GGUUAAGUGACUAAGCGUACACGGUGGAUGCCUAGGCAGUCAGAGGCGAUGAAGGGCGUGCUAAUCUGCGAUAAGCGUCGGUAAGGUGAUAUGAACCGUAAUAACCGGCGAUACCCGAAUGGGGAAACCCAGUGCAAUUCGUUGCACUAUCAUACGAUGAAUACAUAGUCGUAUGAGGCGAACCGGGGGAACUGAAACAUCUAAGUACCCCGAGGAAAAGAAAUCAACCGAGAUUCCCCCAGUAGCGGCGAGCGAACGGGGAGGAGCCCAGAACCUGAAUCAGUUCUUGUGUUAGUGGAAGCGUCUGGAAAGUCGCACAGUAAAGGGUGAUAGUCCCGUACACUAAAAUGCAUUAACUGUGAGUUCGAUGAGUAGGGCGGGACACGUGACAUCCUGUCUGAAUAUGGGGGGACCAUCCUCCAAGGCUAAAUACUCCUGACUGACCGAUAGUGAACCAGUACCGUGAGGGAAAGGCGAAAAGAACCCCGGCGAGGGGAGUGAAAUAGAACCUGAAACCGUGUACGUACAAGCAGUGGGAGCACCUUCGUGGUGUGACUGCGUACCUUUUGUAUAAUGGGUCAGCGACUUAUAUUUUGUAGCAAGGUUAACCGUAUAGGGGAGCCGUAGGGAAACCGAGUCUUAACUGGGCGAAUAGUUGCAAGGUAUAGACCCGAAACCCGGUGAUCUAGCCAUGGGCAGGUUGAAGGUUGGGUAACACUAACUGGAGGACCGAACCGACUAAUGUUGAAAAAUUAGCGGAUGACUUGUGGCUGGGGGUGAAAGGCCAAUCAAACCGGGAGAUAGCUGGUUCUCCCCGAAAGCUAUUUAGGUAGCGCCUCGUGAACUCAUCUUCGGGGGUAGAGCACUGUUUCGGCUAGGGGGCCAUCCCGGCUUACCAAACCGAUGCAAACUCCGAAUACCGAAGAAUGUUAUCACGGGAGACACACGGCGGGUGCUAACGUCCGUCGUGAAGAGGGAAACAACCCAGACCGCCAGCUAAGGUCCCAAAGUCAUGGUUAAGUGGGAAACGAUGUGGGAAGGCAUAGACAGCCAGGAUGUUGGCUUAGAAGCAGCCAUCAUUUAAAGAAAGCGUAAUAGCUCACUGGUCGAGUCGGCCUGCGCGGAAGAUGUAACGGGGCUAAACCAUGCACCGAAGCUGCGGCAGCGACGCUUAGGCGU